rnacentral:tmRNA from 1 species
GACAACGGUAGCUAUUUAUGAAGAGAAGAGAAUAGAUUCUGACUUCUUUUUGGAGGAAUAGUGCGUGCUUCUACCCUGCAUCGCCCAUGUGGCAGGAUAGGGGCUCAACUUUAGUGGGAUACGCCGAAUGGUCUCCGCCUGGGGUCAUUCGGAAGAAAACAAUCAGGCUGACCCAACGAGAAGCCGGUUCCAGGGCGUCUCUCGGGUGACAUCAAAUCCAUGACUACACUCGUAGAAACUUAUGUGCCGUUAUCUUCGGACAGGGGUUCGACUCCCCUC